UAGAUGGUAGUAUAUAGGACUACCAUGGUUGUAACGGGUAACGGAGGAUUAGGGUUUGAUUCCGGAGAAGGAGCAUGAGAAACGGCUACUAUUUCUAAGGAAAGCAGCAGGCGCGCUAAUUAUUCAAUGGAAACAAUUUUCCGAAAUAGUGACAAAAAAUAUCAAUGCUGGAUACUAUGUAUCUAGUAAUUGGAAUGAGUACAAUUUUAAAUCCCUUAACAAGUAACAAUUAGAGGGCAAGUCUGGUGCCAGCAGCCGCGGUAAUUCCAGCUCUAAUAGCGUAUAUUAAUAUUGUUGCAGUUAAAAAAGCUCGUAGUUGAAAUUUUGGAACUUUAUUGUAUUGGUUUGCCUUUUGGUUGAACUGUAUAAUGGGGUUUCUUUCCUACUAGAGUUCGAUUCUGUUCUUAACUGAAUGGAGUAGCUAUCUCUCGGGUAGUCAAUUGGUUAUUA
rnacentral:rRNA from 1 species